GAUGAACGCUGACAGAAUGCUUAACACAUGCAAGUCAUUGGCGAAGCUGCGCUUGCGCAGUCUAGCCAAGGCGAACGGGUGAGUAACGCGUAAGGAACUUGCCCUGCAGACAGGGAUAACAGACGGAAACGACUGAUAACACCUGGUAUUGUCAGGCUGGCGCAUGCCGGCCUGAUGAAAGGAGACGCUGCAGGAGAGCCUUGCGUCCUAUUAGCUAGUUGGUGGGGUAACGGCCCACCAAGGCGAUGAUAGGUAGCCGGCCUGAGAGGGUGAACGGCCACAAGGGGACUGAGAUACGGCCCUUACUCCUACGGGAGGCAGCAGUGGGGAAUAUUGGACAAUGGGGGCAACCCUGAUCCAGCAAUUCUGUGUGCACGAAGAAGGUUUUCGGAUUGUAAAGUGCUUUCAGCAGGGAAGAAGAAAGUGACGGUACCUGCAGAAGAAGCGACGGCUAAAUACGUG
rnacentral:rRNA from 1 species